rnacentral:sRNA from 1 species
CACCAUUCAAAGGUAACUCAAUCAUCCAUGAAACUGAAUACAAAAGAAAUUUCAAGGGUUUAUCUCCAGUGAAAGAACCGAAAUUAAGAAAUGAUUUGAGAGAAAACAGAAAUCUUGAAACAGUAUCUCCUGAAAAGAAGAGUAAUAAAAUAGAUGAUCCUUUAAAAUUGGAAGCAGAGAUGGAAUUAAAAGACUUACACCAGCCUAAAAAGAAGCUUGCUCCUUGGAAACAUCAAAGGCUUGGGUAUGUAUUUUAAUAGGAAAAUAUGGUAUUUCAAUGAUUAACAUGGUGAAAUAUUUACUUUCAUUUCAUUUCUGUUAGGAAGGUGAAUUCCGAAUAUAGAGCAAAAUUUCUGAGCCCUGCUCAGUAUUUAUAUAAAGCUGGGGCUUGGACACGUGUGAAGGGAAACAUGCCAAAUCAGGUGAGUAUACAUGAGCUCAAUAAGCCUACAUGUUCUUUCAGCCUCUGUUAACACUUUAAUUUCACAAUGAGUUCCUUUUGGUAAUAGAGCCCACAAUUUAAAGAAGUAUGAUAUAAUAAUAGCACUAAUAGUAUCAGGAACUUAUGUAUUAGGACGUAAAUUAUCAUUUUUUUUUUAAUGCCACUGGCUGUUCGGAAAUUAAUAUUUAUUGAGGUCUUUUAAGUUAAUGCUUUUUACCAUCAAACAUUUGAUUGUGUUAAUAGAUUCAAUUUAUAGAAUUGUAUCACUAUAGAUUGGAUUAUUUCAUAACCUUCAGACCUCCACUCUCUCAACUGAAGAUUAAUUUUCAAGAUUAAAUAAUUUAUCUGAUAGUGAUG